AUUGAACGCUGGCGGCAGGCCUAACACAUGCAAGUCGAGCGAGCGUCGCAGGGGUGAGUAAAGUCUGUGAAACUGCCUGAAGUAGGGGGAUAACAAUAGGAAAAGGUAUCUAAUACCGCAUACCAUCAGAUGUGCCCAGAUGGGAUUGGAGUGUAGGUGGGGUAACGGCUCACCUAGGCGACGAUCCCUAGCGGGUCUGAGAGGAUGACCAGCCACACUGGAACUGAGACACGGUCCAGACUCCUACGGGAGGCAGCAGUGGGGAAUAUUGCACAAUGGGCGCAAUCCUGAUGCAGCCAUGCCGCGUGUGUGAAGAAGGCCUUCGGGUUGUAAAGCACUUUCAGCGGGGAGGCGUUACCCGCAGAAGAAGCACCGGCUAACUACGUGCCAGCAGCUGCGGUAAUAC
rnacentral:rRNA from 1 species